GACGUAGGGGGCAAGCGUUAUCCGGAUUCACUGGGCGUAAAGGGAGCGCAGGCUGUUACGUAAGUCCGAUGUGAAAAGUCACGGCUCAACUGUGAUCGUGCAUCGGACACUGCGUUGACUAGAGGACGGUAGAGGCAAGUGGAACUAGCGGUGUAGCGGUGAAAUGCGCAGAUAUCGCUAGGAACGCCGGUGGCGAAGGCGACUUGCUGGGCCGAUCCUGACGCUGAGUGAGCGAAAGCCAGGGGAGCAAACGGG
rnacentral:rRNA from 1 species